rnacentral:rRNA from 1 species
GAGUUUGAUCGUGACUCAGAUUGAACGCUGGCGGCAUGCCUUACACAUGCAAGUCGAACGGUAACAGGUUAAGCUGACGAGUGGCGAACGGGUGAGUAAUGUAUCGGAACGUGCCCAGUCGUGGGGGAUAACUGCCCGGAAGAGCAGCUAAUACCGCAUACGACCUGAGGGUGAAAGCGGGGGACCGUAAGGCCUCGCGCGAUUGGAGCGGCCGAUAUCAGAUUAGGUAGUUGGUGGGGUAAAGGCCCACCAAGCCGACGAUCUGUAGCUGGUCUGAGAGGACGACCAGCCACACUGGGACUGAGACACGGCCCAGACUCCUACGGGAGGCAGCAGUGGGGAAUUUUGGACAAUGGACGCAAGUCUGAUCCAGCCAUGCCGCGUGCGGGAAGAAGGCC